rnacentral:piRNA from 1 species
UCUGACUUUGCAGGGCUCACAGAUUCAUGG